UGGGUAAUCUACCCUCGGUUUCGGGAUAGCCCGGGGAAACCCGGAUUAAUACCGAAUGGCCUCUCGAGCUCUCGGGCUUGAGAGAAAAGGUAGCUUCGGCCUCUGACCGAGGAUGAGCCCGCGGCCGAUUAGCUAGUUGGUGGGGUAAUGGCCCACCAAGGCGACGAUCGGUAGCUGGUCUGAGAGGACGAUCAGCCACACUGGGACUGAGACACGGCCCAGACUCCUACGGGAG
rnacentral:rRNA from 1 species